rnacentral:lncRNA from 1 species
CACGAGGCAAACUUGCAUAUGACCUGAUCCCUAACCUCUCCCCCAAUACCAACCGAAGGGACCUCUUUCCCCAACCACCCGACGACCCGGGCGGCCGUCUCUGACCAGACUCUGUGAUGUCGCCACCCUCAACCCCCGUCGUGAAUCCUCCUCUAGCAUUGGACCGGCGCAAUCCCACCUCAACUUCCCCUCCCUACGACCUUUCCGUCAAACCUUCCUACCAGUUCUUCGCCUUCUUCAGUAGAAUCAUCACCACAAGGAUAGGAGGCUCGAUCGCCGCCGGGGUCUGCUGCUGCG